GUGAGAAGACGCCAGCAUCCAUAGGAAAGCAUUGAGAAUGCCUUCCUAUGGACUGGCUGAAUGCGCGCAUGCCUCUUUCCGCGCAUGCGCAUUCAGCCGAUGACAUCAGAAGAGGGAGGGAGGAAAAAAGGUAAGAGAUUAACCCCUUCCUCCCCCUUCAGCGCCACGGGAGUUGGACCCCGAGGGUGGGGGCACCCUCAGGGCACUAUAGUGCCAGGAAAACGAGUUUUCUUUUCCUGGCACUAUAGUGGUCCUUUAAGAUACAGAUUGUGAG